UACGUAGGGAGCAAGCGUUGUCCGGAUUCAUUGGGCGUAAAGAGCUCGUAGGCGGUUCGGUAAGUCGGAUGUGAAACCCCCAGGCUUAACCUGGGGCCGCCAUCCGAUACUGCCGUGACUAGAGUCCGGUAGGGGCCCACGGAACUCCUGGUGUAGCGGUGAAAUGCGCAGAUAUCAGGAAGAACACCGAUGGCGAAGGCAGUGGGCUGGGCCGGUACUGACGCUGAGGAGCGAAAGCGUGGGGAGCGAACAGG
rnacentral:rRNA from 2 species